rnacentral:rRNA from 1 species
CCUACGGGUGGCAGCAGUGAGGAAUAUUGGUCAAUGGCCGGGAGGCUGAACCAGCCAAGUCGCGUGAGGGAUGACGGCCCUAUGGGUUGUAAACCUCUUUUGCCAGGGAGCAAGGUGCAGGUCGGGACCUGCUGUGAGAGUACCCGAAGAAAAAGCAUCGGCUAACUCCGUGCCAGCAGCCGCGGUACUACGGAGGAUGCGAGCGUUAUCCGGAUUUAUUGGGUUUAAAGGGUGCGCAGGCGGAGGCACAAGUCAGCGGUAAAAGCGCGGGGCUCAACCCCGUUCAGCCGUUGAAACUGGGUGCCUUGAGUGCGCGAGAAGUAGGCGGAAUGCGUGGUGUAGCGGUGAAAUGCAUAGAUAUCACGCAGAACUCCGAUCGCGAAGGCAGCCUACCGGCGCGCAACUGACGCUGAUGCACGAAGGCGUGGGUAUCGAACAGGAUUAGAUACCCUUGUAGUC